ensembl:lncRNA
AUGUGUUGUCCUGGCUGUGAGUCACUCUGCUGCCCCAUCUCCAAUAUGCCUCCUCUCUCAGGUCCCAGGUCUUCAAAAUGUAGCUCAGAUACACCCUCUCCAUGCGUGGUAUUGGCACGGCUUUCUCAGAUCCACAGAAGAGUUCACCUUGGACUCGCUCUGCUUUCUCAUCCCUCUCCCUCUCCCAAGAGCACAGGAGCUCCGAGUUGUGAACAGACCCAGCUUGCCCAUCUGGGUCUUAUCUCCACGUCACGCUUGGAUUCUUCCCUGUCCUCUGUAGGAGCCGCUGAGAACACAGAGGGGUCAGUGCGUCAUCCGAGCCUCGCAGGGGUGGGCAGCUGGUGCAUUACCCUGGCUGAGAAGAUCAGUGUCUGAGGUAUUCUGCGUCUCAGGUGGCCGCUUCUCAGACCAGCUCUGCACUCUGGAUUCUUCUCUCAGAUUCCACAUCAACGAGCUUCAUUUCAAAAUGGGCCAUCUUUUACCCCAGUCCUCAUGUCCUGUUUUGCUGUCCAUUCAUUCAUCCAUCCAUUCAGCGUAACUACGGAGUGCUUCCUCUGCUGGUCAAACCUAUGUCGCGCAUGAAGCUGGACCUAAGUCGUGGGCCCACCAGGCACAUAGUUGGCGAUGACAGAGUGAGUUUCUGGCUCUCAUUGUGCCACGUGGCUCAUUCCCACAUGGCAGUGGNNNNNNNNNNNNNNNNNNNNNNNNUCCAGCGUGGAGAGGUAUAUGGCAAGGUGGCAGCUGCGCCCCCGACCAAAGGGAGGGAACCGGCCGUGACUGUCUCUGUUGAGAAGCAAAUGCUGCUCCACACUUAAGCCCAUGGUGAGCGCUCACGUUCCCGGGCUUCUCUCUGGGUAUCACCUAUUUGGGAGAAUUUGAUUCUCUGAAAAAAAUUACCUUAAUCAUUUUCUGUGCAGGGACAUGGUGACACCAGCCUGCAAGUGAGCCUCCCAGCUGACAUGUGGAUGGGUGCGAAGGAGGACUGGAGCCUUGGAGAGCCAAUGCUCUCAUGUUUACUGCCCCGGCUUUAUCCGAGAUUGACCAGAUGUCCAGCCACAGGAAGUCAGCAAGUGCUUUCUUUAGUCUUCUUUCCAAAGGGUCGGCAGGGAUGUUUGAGGACCUCCUGGUGGGUGUGGGAGGCACCAACAAGCCUAAGGCCUCAGAUAUUUUGAUACAGGCUUGAGGCUCCCCACUCCCCACAAUCCCACACUGCUGAGAAUCACUCUGAAUAGCGAUGUUCCUCACAGGGACGCGAUGUGCUUGUGAACGACUCAGGGGCAGAAGAAAGGGAGAGGAAACAUUGUCUGCCGGCUUUCAUUCAUUCACACAUUCAUUUGUCUCUGAAACACCUAUUGAGCCCCUGCUAGGUGUCUGGCUCUCUUGGGCACUGGAAUAUUGACAGGAAGAGCAGGCUAAGAGGAUGCACCUGUCGGCAUCCUUGGGAAGCUUGCCAUCAAUGGGAGCCUGUGAGAAUCUGAUCAAAGGGCAAAGGGGGCAACAACCCCUCUGUUAACUUUGGAAGCUGUCGCUGUCUCUCUGGGGACCCAACUCCACAUAAGGUGCUUGAAGUCAGGAGUGUUCAUGGUGCCUCCACCAGAGAUGCUUCACUCAUUUGACCAGAGAUAGGUGCUCAGAAACCUGGGCUGUGAGUUUAAUUUUCAGAGAUUAACAUGUGACUGAUUAGAAAAACAUCCAGGGGCAGGCAUCUUGCAGAUUAUGUCCUUGCUUCUGGGCUCAGGUAACCCUGGUGGCUCAGCUGAUAGAGCAUUUCCCGCAAUGCGGCAGACCCAGCUUCAGUCCCUGGGUGGGGAAGAUUCCCUGGAGAAGGGAAUAGCAAUCCACUCCAGUAUUCUUGCCUGGAGAGUUCCAUGGACAGAGGAGCCNNNUGGGCUACAGUCCAUGGGGUUGCAAAGAGUCAGACAUGACUGAAUGACUAUCACUUUCGCUUUUGAACCCUACACACACUGAGAAAAUAAACAACUCAAGUGCAAGUUAUAGAGGUGAACUGAAGGUUAGAGUGAAGUAUAUCCAGGAAAGUUGGCAGAUGCAAAGAGGCUUCCCCAAAUGGUGUUGGUAUUGAUACCCCUGCUCAGAGUCUAGGGUCUGCCUCCAGCCUCAUGUGCUCAAAGCAUGGAUCAAGAGCAGAUCCGAUGCUUAGAAAAGAUUUGCUCUAGCCAAAUCUAUAGGCUUGUGAAUCAACUCAGAAUGCCAUUUCCUUGAUUUAUCCUGAAAAACACAACUGUCGUCCAAGUAAAACAUGUGGUAAUGGCCUGUAUCUGUCUCUUUCUAUAGAACAAUCUUUAAGGCAGUUGUCAACAGUAGAUCAUUUGGUGAGUUUGAAAUCAGAACAAAGGGACCUGGUUAGAUGGCUUUGCUAUUUAAUAACAUUAAAUUGUGAGAACCUGGUCAACCACAGUUAUAUGUAAAAUACAUGGUCACUGGCUCUGAUGGACUUGAAAUGGGCAGGGCAUCACUCCUGAACACACCUUGGGUAGGGGUUGCCAACCCCAUUUCUGAUGGCCUAUUCUUGCUUCAUCUAUGUGAUGGCUUUCAGUCCUGUCUUAUAGGUUUGAGAGUCAUUUUAUUUCUUUCAAGAGACUUUGUGUCUCUCCACUAUGGUUCUUAGAACUUAUGGUUUAACUUAUAAUGACAACCUUAUAUCCUUUUGAACAUUUUGUCCACAGUUCAAUUCAGUCGUGUCCAACUCUUUGUGACCCUAUGGAUUGUAGCACACCAGGCUUCCCUGUCCAUCACCAAUUCCUGGAGCUUGCUCA